AGAGUUUGAWUCAUGGCUCAGGACGAACGCUGGCGGCGUGCCUAAUACAUGCAAGUCGUACGCUUCUUUUUCCACCGGAGCUUGCUCCACCGGAAAAAGARGAGUGGCGAACGGGUGAGUAACACGUGGGUAACCUGCCCAUCAGAAGGGGAUAACACUUGGAAACAGGUGCUAAUACCGUAUAACAAUCGAAAACCGCAUGGUUUUGAUUUGAAAGGCGCUUUCGGGUGUCGCUGAUGGAUGGACCCGCGGUGCAUUAGCUAGUUGGUGAGGUAACGGCUCACCAAGGCCACGAUGCAUAGCCGACCUGAGAGGGUGAUCGGCCACAUUGGGACUGAGACACGGCCCAAACUCCUACGGGAGGCAGCAGUAGGGAAUCUUCGGCAAUGGACGAAAGUCUGACCGAGCAACGCCGCGUGAGUGAAGAAGGUUUUCGGAUCGUAAAACUCUGUUGUUAGAGAAGAACAAGGAUGAGAGUAACUGUUCAUCCCUUGACGGUAUCUAACCAGAAAGCCACGGCUAACUACGUGCCAGCAGCCGCGGUAAUACGUAGGUGGCAAGCGUUGUCCGGAUUUAUUGGGCGUAAAGCGAGCGCAGGCGGUUUCUUAAGUCUGAUGUGAAAGCCCCCGGCUCAACCGGGGAGGGUCAUUGGAAACUGGGAGACUUGAGUGCAGAAGAGGAGAGUGGAAUUCCAUGUGUAGCGGUGAAAUGCGUAGAUAUAUGGAGGAACACCAGUGGCGAAGGCGGCUCUCUGGUCUGUAACUGACGCUGAGGCUCGAAAGCGUGGGGAGCAAACAGGAUUAGAUACCCUGGUAGUCCACGCCGUAAACGAUGAGWRMUAAGUGUUGGAGGGUUUCCGCCCUUCAGUGCUGCAGCUAACGCAUUAAGGCAYGCCSGGCSSKKA
rnacentral:rRNA from 1 species